rnacentral:rRNA from 1 species
GUUUUUCAUGAGAGUUUGAUCCUGGCUCAGAAUGAACGCUGGCGGCAUGCCUAACACAUGCAAGUCGAACGCAAUAGGUUCGCCUAUUGAGUGGCAGACGGGUGAGUAAUACACGGGAAUCUACCUCUAGGUAAGGAAUAGCUACGGGAAACUGUAGGUAAUACCUUAUAAUAUGUGCAAACAUCAAAGAUUUAUCGCCUAGAGAGGAGCCCGUGCCAGAUUAGGUCGUUGGUGGGGUAACAGCCUACCAAGCCUAUGAUCUGUAGUUGGUCUGAGAGGAUGAUCAGCCACACUGGGACUGAGAACGGCCCAGACUCCUACGGGGGGCAGCAGUGGGGAAUAUUGGACAAUGGGCGCAAGCCUGAUCCAGCCAUGCCGCGUGGGUGAAGAAGGCCUUUGGGUUGUAAAGCUCUUUCACCUGUGACGAUAAUGACGGUAGCAGGACAAGAAGCCCCGGCUAACUCCGUGCCAGCAGCCGCGGUAAGACGGAGGGGGCAAGCGUUAUUCGGAAUUACUGGGCGUAAAGGGUGCGUAGGCGGUUUUUUAAGCAAGGUGUGAAAGCCCUGGGCUCAACCCAGGAACGGCGCUUUGAACUGAAGAACUAGAGUACGAAAGAGGAAAGAGGAAUUCCUAGUGUAGGGGUGAAAUCCAUAGAUAUUAGGAAGAACACCAAAGGCGAAGGCGACUUUCUGGUCUGUAACUGACGCUGAGGCGCGAAAGCGUGGGGAGCAAACAGGAUUAGAUACCCGAGUAGUCCACGCUGUAAACGAUGAAUGCUAGACGUUGGAGGUUCGUCCUUCAGUGUCGCAGCUAACGCGUGAAGCAUUCCGCCUGGGGAGUACGGUCGCAAGAUUAAAACUCAAAGGAAUUGACGGGGGCCUGCACAAGCGGUGGAGCAUGUGGUUUAAUUCGACGCAACGCGCAAAACCUUACCAGCUUUUGACAUAGGGACAGAAGGCAUCAGAGAUGAAGCCUGCGGUUCGGCCGGGUCCCGUACAGGUGCUGCAUGGCUGUCGUCAGCUCGUGUCGUGAGAUGUUGGGUUAAGUCCCGCAACGAGCGCAACCCUCGUUCUUAGUUGCCAGCAGUUCGGCUGGGGACUCUAAGAAAACUGCCGGUGACAAGCCGGAGGAAGGUGGGGAUGAUGUCAGGUCCUCAUGGCCCUUAUGGGCUGGGCUACACACGUGCUACAAUGGCGAUCACAAUGAGAAGCAAGGGGGUGACCCGGAGCCAAUCUCUAAAAAUCGUCUCAGUUCGGAUUGUUCUCUGCAACUCGAGAGCAUGAAGUUGGAAUCGCUAGUAAUCGCAGAUCAGCAUGCUGCGGUGAAUACGUUCACGGGCCUUGUACACACCGCCCGUCAAGCCAUGGAAGUUAUCUUUUCUUUAAGGCGAUGAGCUAACCAGCAAUGGAGGCAGUCGACCACAGAAAAGGUGAUGACUGGGGUUAAGUCGUAACAAGGUAGCCGUAGGGGAACCUGUGGCUGGAUUACCUCCUUUCUA